ACGCUGGCGGCGUGCCUAACACAUGCAAGUCGAACGGAGAUAUGAUUUCGGUUGUAUCUUAGUGGCGAACGGGUGAGUAACGCGUGAACAACCUGACUCUAAGAGGGGGAUAACACUCGGAAACGGGUGCUAAUACCGCAUAAGACCACGACCUGGCAUCAGGAUGAGGUCAAAGGAACAAUCCGCUGAGAGAGGGGUUCGCGUCCCAUUAGAUAGAUGGCGGGUAACGGCCCACCAUGUCAACGAUGGGUAGCCGAGCUGAGAGGCUGAUCGGCCACACUGGAACUGAGACACGGUCCAGACUCCUACGGGAGGCAGCAGUGGGGAAUAUUGGGCAAUGGGCGCAAGCCUGACCCAGCAACGCCGCGUGAGGGAAGAAGGCUUUCGGGUUGUAAACCUCUGUCCUUGGUGACGAAACAAAUGACGGUAGCCAAGGAGGAAGCCCCGGCUAACUACGUG
rnacentral:rRNA from 1 species